rnacentral:rRNA from 1 species
UACAUGGGGUGCAAACGUUGCUCGGAAUUAUUGGGCGUAAAGCGCACGUAGGCGGUCCGUUAAGUCGGAUGUGGAAGCCCCCGGCUCAACCGGGGAAGUGCAUCCGAAACUGGCAGGCUAGAGUACGAAAGAGGGUCGCGGAAUUCCCGGUGUAGAGGUGAAAUUCGUAGAUAUCGGGAGGAACACCGGUGGCGAAGGCGGCGACCUGGGUCGAUACUGACGCUGAGGUGCGAAAGCGUGGGGAGCGAACAGG